CCUUCCUUUUCCAAACCUGUCACUCUGGCACAGGAAUUUAAUGCAGUGAUUGCCUUGACCUAGAUCACAUGCCAAAGUCCAAAAGCCAGUUGGACGGAAUCAGUCCAUCAAAAUUAUGUGUACUCACAGUAAAGGGGUAUUAAGAAGUAAGGGAAGAGUUGAAAACAACUGGUUGCUCCUUCCGAUGGAGGCCCAGCCCAGGGUUGGUGUGAGGCUGGUAGACCUGGUACAUCAGACCAGGUCUCCCUGGAGUCAGAUUGCUCUGGAAUGCAGCCCAAAGUGGGCGGUAAACUCCAUCUAAGGCUAAAUACCUGCACAAGACCAAUAGUCGCCAAGUACUGUGAGGGCGAGUUGAAAAGAACUUUGGAGAGAGAGUUUAAGAGGGCGUGAGACCAUUGAGAGGUAAGCAGGUAGGGUCUGAGGAGUCCUCCUGGAGUAGGGAGAGAAAAAAAAAAGAACUGGAUGCUGAACAAGAGAAAAAAAAAUAGCACUGAAAGUAACCUUACAAUUUUGGAAGAGACUUUUUUUCUCUUCCCCCCAUGAAUUUGCUUUUGGUGUCUUCAUAGAACCCUUUACACCACUUCCCUAAUUUCUCUAAUGGGUUUUCUUAUUUAUGACCAAAGGUUCCUGUUCACAGAAUUUUAUAUCUAGAAGGGGUCUUUAAGAUGGUUCAGUAUAAUCUCCUGUCUUUUAUUGAUGCAGAA
rnacentral:ncRNA from 1 species